rnacentral:rRNA from 1 species
AUUGAACGCUGGCGGCAGGCUUAACACAUGCAAGUCGAACGAUGAAACUCUAGCUUGCUAGAGAAGAUUAGUGGCGGACGGGUGAGUAACAUUUAGGAAUCUGCCUAGUAGUGGGGGAUAGCUCGGGGAAACUCGAAUUAAUACCGCAUACGACCUACGGGUGAAAGGGGGCGCAAGCUCUUGCUAUUAGAUGAGCCUAAAUCAGAUUAGCUAGUUGGUGGGGUAAAGGCCCACCAAGGCGACGAUCUGUAACUGGUCUGAGAGGAUGAUCAGUCACACCGGAACUGAGACACGGUCCGGACUCCUACGGGAGGCAGCAGUGGGGAGUAUUGGACAAUGGGGGCAACCCUGAUCCAGCCAUGCCGCGUGUGUGAAGAAGGCCUUUUGGUUGUAAAGCACUUUAAGCAGGGAGGAGAGGCUAAUGGUUAAUACCCAUUAGAUUAGACGUUACCUGCAGAAUAAGCACCGGCUAACUCUGUGCCAGCAGCCGCGGUAAUACAGAGGGUGCGAGCGUUAAUCGGAAUUACUGGGCGUAAAGCGAGUGUAGGUGGCUCAUUAAGUCACAUGUGAAAUCCCCGGGCUUAACCUGGGAACUGCAUGUGAUACUGGUGGUGCUAGAAUAUGUGAGAGGGAAGUAGAAUUCCAGGUGUAGCGGUGAAAUGCGUAGAGAUCUGGAGGAAUACCGAUGGCGAAGGCAGCUUCCUGGCAUAAUAUUGACACUGAGAUUCGAAAGCGUGGGUAGCAAACAGGAUUAGAUACCCUGGUAGUCCACGCCGUAAACGAUGUCUACUAGCCGUUGGGGUCCUUGAGACUUUAGUGGCGCAGUUAACGCGAUAAGUAGACCGCCUGGGGAGUACGGCCGCAAGGUUAAAACUCAAAUGAAUUGACGGGGGCCCGCACAAGCGGUGGAGCAUGUGGUUUAAUUCGAUGCAACGCGAAGAACCUUACCUGGUCUUGACAUAGUGAGAAUCUUUCAGAGAUGAGAGAGUGCCUUCGGGAAUUCACAUACAGGUGCUGCAUGGCUGUCGUCAGCUCGUGUCGUGAGAUGUUGGGUUAAGUCCCGCAACGAGCGCAACCCUUUUCCUUAUUUGCCAGCGGGUUAAGCCGGGAACUUUAAGGAUACUGCCAGUGACAAACUGGAGGAAGGCGGGGACGACGUCAAGUCAUCAUGGCCCUUACGACCAGGGCUACACACGUGCUACAAUGGUAGGUACAGAGGGUUGCUACACAGCGAUGUGAUGCUAAUCUCAAAAAGCCUAUCGUAGUCCGGAUUGGAGUCUGCAACUCGACUCCAUGAAGUCGGAAUCGCUAGUAAUCGCAGAUCAGAAUGCUGCGGUGAAUACGUUCCCGGGCCU